rnacentral:rRNA from 1 species
GCUGGCGGCAGGCCUCAAACAUGCAAGUCUAGGGGGUGUAGCAAUACAUCACCGGCGGACGGGUGCGUAACACGUGGGAAUAUACCUUUUGGUUCGGAACAACGCAGGGAAACUCGCGCUAAUACCGAAUGUGCCCUUACGGGGAAAGAUUUAUCGCCAAAGGAUUAGCCCGCGUAGGAUUAGCUAGUUGGUGAGGUAAUGGCUCACCAAGGCUCCGAUCCUUAGCUGUUCUGAGAGGAAGAUCAGCCUCACUGGGACUGAGACACGGCCCAGACUCCUACGGGAGGCAGCAGUUGGGAAUCUUGGACAAUGGGGGAAACCCUGAUCCAGCCAUGCCGCGUGAGUGAUGAAGGCCUUCGGGUUGUAAAGCUCUUUCGACGGGGACGAUAAUGACGGUACCCGUAGAAGAAGCUCCGGCUAACUUCGUGCCAGCAGCCGCGGUAAUACGAAGGGGGCUAGCGUUGUUCGGAAUUACUGGGCGUAAAGCGCGCGCAGGCGGUCUUCCAAGUCAGUGGUGAAAGCCCGGAACUCAACUCCGGAACUGCCAUUGAAACUGUAAGACUUGAGGACGAGAGAGGUGAGUGGAACUCCCAGUGUAGAGGUGAAAUUCGUAGAUAUUGGGAAGAACACCGGUGGCGAAGGCGGCUCACUGGCUCGUAUCUGACGCUCAGGCGCGACAGCGUGGGGA